rnacentral:tRNA from 1 species
CGGGGUGUAGCGCAGUCCGGUAGCGUACUUGCAUGGGGUGCAAGGGGUCGUGGGUUCAAAUCCCGCCACCCCGACGA